UGCAAGUCUAGGGGACGUAGCAAUACGUCACCGGCGGACGGGUGCGUAACACGUGGGAAUAUACCUUUCGGUUCGGAACAACGCAGGGAAACUUGCGCUAAUACCGAAUGCUCCGGAAACGGCAAAGAUUUAUCGCCGAAGGAUUAGCCCGCGUUCGAUUAGCUAGUUGGUGAGGUAACGGCUCACCAAGGCAACGAUCGAUAGCUGUUCUGAGAGGAAGAUCAGCCACACUGGGACUGAGACACGGCCCAGACUCCUACGGGAGGCAGCAGUUGGGAAUCUUGGACAAUGGGGGAAACCCUGAUCCAGCCAUGCCGCGUGAGUGAUGAAGGCCUUCGGGUUGUAAAGCUCUUUUACCCGGGAAGAUAAUGACUGUACCGGGAGAAUAAGCUCCGGCUAACUUCGUGCCAGCAGCCGCGGUAAUACGAAGGGGGCUAGCGUUGUUCGGAAUUACUGGGCGUAAAGCGCGCGCAGGCGGUUUCUCAAGUCAGUGGUGAAAGCCCGGAGCUCAACUCCGGAACUGCCAUUGAAACUGUGAGACUUGAGGACGAGAGAGGUGAGUGGAAUUCCCAGUGUAGAGGUGAAAUUCGUAGAUAUUGGGAAGAACACCGGUGGCGAAGGCGGCUCACUGGCUCGUUUCUGACGCUCAGGCGCGACAGCGUGGGGAUCAAACAGGAUUAGAUACCCUGGUAGUCCACGCCGUA
rnacentral:rRNA from 1 species